rnacentral:rRNA from 1 species
UACGUAGGGUCCGAGCGUUGUCCGGAGUUACUGGGCGUAAAGCGCGCGCAGGCGGCGGUGUUGGCCCGGCGUGAAAGUCCCCGGCUCAACCGGGGAGAGUCGUCGGGGACCGCACCGCUUGAGGGCGGUAGGGGCUGGUGGAAUGCCUGGUGUAGUGGUGAAAUGCGUAGAGAUCAGGCAGAACACCUGGGGCGAAGGCGGCCAGCUGGGCCGUCCCUGACGCUGAGGCGCGAAGGCGUGGGGAGCGAACGGGG